rnacentral:rRNA from 1 species
UGAAUACGAGAUGCUACGGCAUCGAAGCAGUCUAUGUCAUACUUCCAAGAAAAGCUUGCACUGUCAUAAACAAAUAAUGCCUGUACCAUAACCGACACAGGUGGGUAGGUAGAGUAUACUAAGGGGCGCGAGAUAACUCUCUCUAAGGAACUCGGCAAAAUGACUCCGUAACUUCGGGAGAAGGAGUGCCUUAUUUUAUAAGGUUGCAAUAACAAGAUCCAAGCAACUGUUUACCAAAGACACAGGUCUCCGCUAAGUCGUAAGACGAUGUAUGGGGGCUGACGCCUGCCCAGUGCCAGAAGGUUAAAGAAGUUGGUUAGCAUUAGCGAAGCUGAUAACUGAAGCCCUGGUGAACGGCGGCCGUAACAUAACGGUCCUAAGGUAGCGAAAUUCCUUGUCGGGUAAGUUCCGACCCGCACGAAAGGCGUAAUGAUUUGGAUACUGUCUCGGAGAGGGGCUCGGUGAAAUAGACUUGUCUGUGAAGAUGCGGACUACCUGCACCAGGACGGAAAGACCCUAUGAAGCUUUACUGUAACUUGAGAUUGAAAUUGGACUUUAUUUGCGCAGUAUAGGUGGGAGACGUUGAAAAUAUUCUUGCGGGAAUAUUGGAGUCAUCAGUGAGAUACCACUCUUAUAAUGUUAGAUUUCUAACUUUGUAUCAUUAUCUGGUCAAAGAACAGUCUCAGGCGGGCAGUUUGACUGGGGCGGUCGCCUCCCAAACGGUAACGGAGGCGCACAAAGGUUUCCUCUGAACGUGUAGAAAUCGUAUCUAGAGUGUAAAGGCAUAAGGAAGCUUGACUGUGAGACCUACAAGUCGAGCAGGGACGAAAGUCGGUCUUAGUGAUCUGACGGUGCUGAGUGGAAAGGCCGUCACUCAACGGAUAAAAGUUACUCUAGGAUAACAGGCUGAUCUCCCCCAAGAGUUCACAUCGACGGGGAGGUUUGGCACCUCGAUGUCGGCUCAUCGCAUCCUGGGGCGGUAGUACGUCCCAAGGGUUGGGCUGUUCGCCCAUGAAAGCGGUACGCGAGCUGGGUUCAGAACGUCGUGAGACAGUUCGGUCCAUAUCCGGUGUAGGCGUUAGAAUAUUGAGAGGAGCCUUCUUUAGUACGAGAGGACCGAGAAGGACAUACCUCUGGUGUACCAGUUAUCGUGCCAACGGUAAACGCUGGGUAGCUAUGUAUGGAGAGGAUAACCGCUGAAAGCAUCUAAGUGGGAAGCCCACCUCAAGAUAAG